rnacentral:rRNA from 1 species
AGCAGCCGCGGUAAUUCCAGCUCCAAUAGCGUAUAUUAAAGUUGUUGCAGUUAAAAAGCUCGUAGUUGAAUUUCGGAGUUUGUCGGUUGGUCGGGCUUCAUUGUCCGCACUGACCUGAUGGAUUCCUACCUUCUGAAUAACCAGCAUGCUAUUAAGUUAGUGCGUUGGGGAAGCAGAGCUAUUACCUUGAAAAAAUUAGAGUGCUUAAAGCAGGCUUAUGCUUGAAUAGAUUAGCAUGGAAUAAUAAAAUAGGACGGCAUGGUUCUAUUUUGUUGGUUUCUAGGAUCACCGUAAUGAUUAAUAGGGAUAGUUGGGGGCAUUAGUAUUCAAUUGUCAGAGGUGAAAUUCUUGGAUUUAUUGAAGACUAACUUCUGCGAAAGCAUUUGCCAAGGAUGUUUUCAUUAAUCAAGAACGAAAGUUAGGGGAUCGAAGACGAUCAGAUACCGUCGUAGUCUUAACCAUAAACUAUGCCGACUAGGGAUCGGACGAUGUUAAUUUUUUAAUGACUCG